rnacentral:rRNA from 1 species
AUUGAACGCUGGCGGAAUGCUUUACACAUGCAAGUCGAACGGCAGCACGGGGGCAACCCUGGUGGCGAGUGGCGAACGGGUGAGUAAUACAUCGGAACGUGCCCAGUCGUGGGGGAUAACGUAGCGAAAGUUACGCUAAUACCGCAUACGAUCUAUGGAUGAAAGCGGGGGACCGUAAGGCCUCGCGCGAUUGGAGCGGCCGAUGUCGGAUUAGGUAGGUGGUGAGGUAAAGGCUCACCAAGCCGACGAUCUGUAGCUGGUCGGAGAGGACGACCAGCCACACUGGGACUGAGACACGGCCCAGACUCCUACGGGAGGCAGCAGUGGGGAAGUUUGGACAAUGGGCGCAAGCCUGAUCCAGCCAUUCCGCGUGCAGGACGAAGGCUUUCGGGUUGUAAACUGCUUUUGUACGGAACGAGAAGGCUCUGGUUAAUACCUGGGGCUCAUGACGGUACCGUAAGAAUAAGCACCGGCUAACUACGUGCCAGCCGCCGCGGUAA